ACGGAGGGUGCAAGCGUUAUCCGGAUUUAUUGGGUUUAAAGGGUGCGCAGGCGGAAUUUUAAGUCAGUGGUGAAAGCCCGAGGCUCAACCUCGGAACUGCCAUUGAUACUGAAAUUCUUGAAUGUAGUUGAUGUGGGCGGAAUGUGCCAUGUAGCGGUGAAAUGCUUAGAUAUGGCACAGAACACCGAUCGUGAAGACAGCUCACAAAACUAUUAUUGACGCUCAGGCACGAAAGCGUGGGGAUCAAACAGGAUUAGAUACCCUGGUAGUCCACGCUGUAAACGUUGAUCACUCGACAUUGGCGAUAUACGGUCAGUGUCCAAGCGAAAGUGUUUAGUGAUCCACCUGGGGAGUACGCCCGCAAGGGUG
rnacentral:rRNA from 1 species